ensembl:lncRNA
GGGGAGAUGUCAUUUGUUUACUUACUUAUAAUGUAAACUAUAUUAAAACUGCCUUUAAGAUGAGCAUGAAGCACAACAACAAGAUACAAUUUCAACACUCAUGAGAAGGAAUAGUCCAAGUCAUUGCUGGUCUAUGUCAUGGAUGUAUUUUGAUCAGAAGCAGCUCAAUAAAAAUGCAGAUGCUUCAGCCGAUUGUACAAAUAAAAAAAACAAAAAAACAAAAAACAACCCAGAAAUCAUUUGCAAUGACACUCAUGCACGUUUACAAUACUAAAGUAUGAGUGCACUUAAACAUGUACAUUCUAAUAUGCUGAUGCCUUCUGCAUGAUAAAUACUUUAUAGCAAAGUAAGAGCACACUACUACACUCUGAUAUGCCAAAAUGAGCAAUUCAUCGUUACAUACUAUAAUUAAUCUAGCAGUUUUACAGGAGUGAGGUCAAUAUGGGACUGCAUGCCCUGCUUCUGUACAUGAAUGCUGAUGUCUGUGUGCCGCUUGUGGUGUUUACUACUAUAGUGUUCUAAAUGUGAGUACAUGGCUCUAUUAGUGUAUACCAUUUUCCUAAUGGUACAUAUCUACAAUUAGCAUUACUUUAUUUUAGGAUUUUUUUACAUCCCUCAAGUAUUAAACGUAACCUUUUUGGUCUCAUAGUAGGCCUAUAUGGAGUGUUAAGAGAGUGUAGUGAUAUGAGAGGUAAAAGUUGGCAAUCUCAAGAUUUUCUCACUAUUUGUGUUUCCGCUGCAGGUAUCAAGCCACCAAAGUCAAGUAUUCUGAGAGACACAUCCAAGGAAUGAAUGAAUAAAUAAAUAAAUACAAUUUAUCAUACACUUUACAUUACAUACAGUACAUUCCUUGAGUAAAUACCAUAUUUACACAUGCUAUCAGGGUGACUGGAUGUGAGGCAGCCUCUCGCUACAAGUUGCACGAUACGGAUCAGUCAUUUGUGUGGAAACACGGGCACAUCAAGUCACUUUGCCGGAGCCUUUACCCUCGUAGAUCGAACCCCUUCCUCUGGAGCCGUGGCUCCACUGACCCAGCCCGCCAGACCUGUCCGGAGGGUGAGCGUGCCGAGGAGGGGAGCCAGAUAAGCUAGACGGAGAGCGGCUACGGCCCUGCAGUGCCCCGCCGUCGCGGAGCUCCCGGGACGGGGAGGAGCUGAGCGAACGCUGUAGGGAGGAAGAUGAGUUGCGAGGGCAAGGAGGCGGGCUGAAGAGCAUCCCGCUGCGGUCCUGCAUCAGCUGGGUCAGGCUUGCCAGGAAGUCUGCGUCGCUGGUGCUGCUGGCACGCACCCUUAACCGCCGCCGUCUGCAAAAAAAAAAAAAAAACAACAAAAAAAAAAAACAACAAAACAAAUUCUCAGCAACAGCUACUUGAAUUACUGUGUAUUAGUAUUAGCUGCCAUCAUUAGGAUUAUUACAUAUUUAUUUAUCGUUCUAAUUUAUUAUAGUAAAGAACCUAUUUUUAUUAUUCUGUUAUUUUAAUAGUAUGAUUUUUUAUGUUUGUCUGUAUACACAAAGUUCAGCAGUGCUUCCAGUUUCAUUGUAUGGUUAUCCUAUUGGCAGUGUCCAUCCUUUUGUUGUUGUUUGUUUUCAAACAGACCUAAUAUGACGGAGGGAUGCUUUGAUUUUUAAAGCAGUCAAAGAAAAAAAUUGCCAUAUUUUCACCUUUUUUUUUUAAACUCUGUUUUCUCAAACAGAAUCAUAGAGUUGAUUUUUUUAAUGUAAGGCUGUAGUUUCAUUUCUUUUGUCACUUUUGUUGACAAAACAAAUUUGUUUUGUCUCUGCUGUGUUAGAUAUACAGUUAUGUAUUGCCCAGAUGUCCCAGUUUUACACUGGGAGUUAACUACAGCGUACAUUCAUGGAUCUGUCCGAAGCCGGCAGCGUGAAAUUAGUCUCAAAACUCCACGUGGGCAUGCAUCGUAAAAUCGUAUGUAUUUGUAAAUUAAUUUUAUGUUUGGUCAAAUUGCUUCGUAUUUGUGUGUGGAUUAGAGCGGGCAUUCAUGAGUCCUCAAAAGUUACACACAAAUCACGUCAGACAUUUGCAAAUUUUACUGUUUACUGAUUCAGAGUUUAGAGUUAACUGGUUAGCAGCAGCUGAACAUUCAGAACAGGAAUGAGUGGAUUAUUAUUAGUAGUACAUCAAGUAUAGAUCAUUUCUUUUUCUUGGGCAGGUGGGAAAAAAAACAAAAAAAAAACAAAACCAUACUGGGAAACAAUGACUGUAUCACAUUUCCACAGUCUGGACCACAUACCUGUUGUCUACACAUGGGCGGAUGGGCGGUUUCCCAGGAGGUGGCCGGGGCAGAAACCUGCUAGUGAGUUGCUCCGGCACAAACGUGGCACUCACAGGACGUGGGAUUUUACUUUUACUGCAUGAUGACAAGGACAGCGAGAGAGGGUCUUCUCCUGCACAGUCGGAUCUGGAGCCUCGGUCUGAGGAGAGCCUGUCUCUGGGCAGGGCGCAGGGGAGGUUGUCACAGGACAGAGAUGGAGAGGGUGAGUGGGUGGGGGAGCCGGGGAUGGGACUGCUCCAGCGGUUACGCUUCUCUAUGUUCAGGUCCCUGCUCGGAGAGUCCAAGGGGUUGCUUGGAUCUCGGACAGGGAUUCGACUCAACCUUGGCGAUGAGGGAGAGUCCCUUCGUUUGAGCAGAGCAGGAGGCGGCGAGGAGGACACGGUGACUGUGCUCUCCACAGCACCCCCCACGGUGUCGGCUUGAGGUUGCUGAUUCGGUUCCGAUGAGCGAUCGGGCAGACCAGAAUCGCUCUCUGGGUCUCUGUCGUUGGCCAGAUGAGCUGUGGGGCCUUUGGCAAGGCUUGGGACCGGCGCUAAGUCCAACUUCCCUUCCUCAGAUUUACCAGAUGGUGCCUCUAGAGAUCCUUGCUCUAGCUCCAGCAUCACCCACUCCUGAGAGUCUCCCUCUUGAGGCACGGGACUAAAGUUUACAGCAACAAAGCCGCUGCUUGCUGCGCCUUCCUCUGGGUCGGGGGUUGCUGUGCCAGAGCGCUCCUCGUUGCAGGAAGACGUCUGUUGUUCAGGCCCUUUUUCAGGAAUUGACUUUUCUCCAACAUGAGAAAGAACAGGCCGCUGUUUGCCCAGG